CGGACGGGUGAGUAAUGUCUGGGAAACUGCCCGAUGGAGGGGGGUAACUACUGGAAACGGUAGCUAAUACCGCAUAACGUCGCAAGACCAAAGAGGGGGACCUUAGGGCCUCUUGCCAUCGGAUGUGCCCAGAUGGGAUUAGCUAGUAGGUGGGGUAACGGCUCACCUAGGCGACGAUCCCUAGCUGGUCUGAGAGGAUGACCAGCCACACUGGAACUGAGACACGGUCCAG
rnacentral:rRNA from 1 species